UGGAGAGGUUAAAUGACUUGUCUAAGGUCACGCUGCGGGCGAAUGGAGGAGCUGGGAUUAGAACCCGGGUCUCUUGAAUCCCAGUCCUGCGCUGGGGCCAUGCCGUCCCCCAUUUGUCUAAAAGAGCGGGAUUCGCCGACACAAGACUCCAAAGGACGGAAGUCUGGCAGCUGGAGAGGAGACUCGGCAAGAGGAUGCAAGGAAAGGGGCGCGUUCGAGCGGACCGACCUGGCCAGGGGAUAAAUUCGGUGAGACUCCACGUUCACGGCUGUCAAGUACAGCGGAGCUGUUUAUGUGGCUGUACUUUCGGCGAUGAGCAGGAUAUGUUUAUCCAACGCACCUUAUUAAUAAUUCUGCUAGAAAACAGCGAUGGCGUCUUCUCACGGCCACGCUGCUCCGCCCCGAAGGCAGGGAGUGAAUCUCGGGGCUCUGUCCCAAGCAGACACCCCACCAGUAACAUUUCAGCUGCCUCUAAAGACAUUCCGAGGUACAUUGAGGUGGUCCAAACCCAGGCAAAGAGGACUUGCUCCACUGGGAUUUCGCCGGCAUAACCAGCCCCCCAACCCAGGGUGUUCGACAGGUCGUUGCCUGUGCCCAGCGGCAAGACUGCCACGUGUGGAAUGAACUUCUCCUGCCCCUGGAAGAGAAUGGACACGUCUCGGAGUCUCCCUUCCCAGAGCUUUGCCACAGACAUUGAAGAUAGCUGAGGUCUGUGAGGAGUCUCUGCCAUUCAGCCAACUGAUAACGUUUUUUUCUGCCAAUCAGAUAUGAAGCAAAAAAGGUAAAGAGGUAAGGUAUCCCCACUUUGCAUGAGCAGGAAUUGUGACGUCCCAUCAGGGCUAGCGGUUGGCACGUGGGAAAAAUGUAUUGGUCCAAUUUUAGCCCAAGAGCAAAACUGCAGCUACCAAAAGGCUUUGCCUGGAGCUGAGUGAUGUAGGCCAGGACUACCUAUAUAUGCUGCACUCCUGCCUGCUCGUUGCACUCUGGGCCCCGGGUGGGAACAGGACGAGGCGGGACCAGAGAGUGUAAGCGAUGCCGGGCAAGCUUCCAGCAUGGCGAGCAAGUCUUCCAUGUAAGAUCUUGGGCCAGGGGCUCGUCCAACGUCCCUAAGGAGAGGGAUUUCAUCCCUAGCCCUGGGAAUCCCGUCCGAGAGAUCAACCGGGUCCUCUUCGGUGUGGCAUGGAUCUCUCAGGCAGCGUUCUCUGUCCUUAGCAAUCGCUAGCUAAUCGAUCGAUGGUAUUUCUUUAGCUCUUACUGUGCGCAGAACAUUGUACUGUACACUAAUGGCGUCUGGUCUUCUGAAGUUAGGUCUCACUUCUACUAUCAAACCACGCUGGGAAAACUCCUUCCAUUUCACUAUUUACCAUACCACAGCACCUCUUACGUCGCCUGAGGGAUGGUCUCCAGCAUUCAGAGAACAACUGAAGGAAGGAAGCAAGGUUCAUUUAUUUCGAACGGAAGGUUGGCAAGUUCACCGGGGGGCGGGAAGGGGACAGAAUGCGUACUGUCCUUUCUCUUAAUAUUUUCCUCUGCCUCAGGCUCCAGCCUGGCAUCAGUGCUUGGAAGAUGAGUCACGCCAGCUAAGCGGCAAGAGCUACUGGGAAGGGCACGGGCCUAAUUCCAGCUCCUCUUCUGUCUUGCUGUGUGACCCGGGGGCAAGUCACUUGACUGUUCUGGGCUUCAGUGUCCU